rnacentral:rRNA from 1 species
AUUGAACGCUGGCGGCAGGCCUAACACAUGCAAGUCGAACGGUAACAGGAAGAUGGUUGUUUCUUUGCUGGGGGGUGGCGUGCGUGUGAGAAAUGUCUGGGAAACUUACUGGUGGAGGGGGAUAACUACUGGGAACGGUAGCUAAUACCGCAUAGCGUGGCAAGGCGAAAAAGCGGGAGCUCUCGGGCUCUUGCCAUGGGAUAUGCCCGGGUGGGAUUAGCUUGUUGGGGGGGUAAAGGCUCACGUAGAGGACGAUCCGUAGCUGGACUGAGAGGAGGACCAGCCACACGGGGACUGAGACACGGCCCAGACUCCUACGGGAGGCAGCAGUGGGGAAUUUUGGACAAUGGGCGCAAGCCUGAUCCAGCCAUGCCGCGUGGGGGAAGAAGGCCUUCGGGUUGUAAAGCGCUUUUGUUGGGGAAGAAAGGCGCAAGGCUAAUACCCCGGGGGAAUGACGGUACCGGAAGAAUAAGCACCGGCGAACUACGUG